rnacentral:rRNA from 1 species
UAAUACGGAGGUCCCGAGCGUUGUUCGGAAUUACUGGGCGUAAAGGGAGCGCAGGCGGACGGGUCAGUCUGAAGUGGAAAUCCGGGGCUUAACCUCGGACUUGCUUCGGAUACUGCCUGUCUUGAGUUCGUGAGAGGAAGAUGGAAUUCAGGGUGUAGCGGUGAAAUGCUCAGAUAUCCUGAGGAACACCAGUGGCGAAAGCGGUCUUCUGGCACGAAACUGACGCUGAGGCUCGAAAGCGUGGGUAGCAAACAGG